GAAACACCUGUUAUAUCGUUAAAGUUUUAAUUGUUUUGCAGCACACUGCUUCUAGCCGGCUUUCCCAUUAGCAUCACUAGCCCGUUACCCCGGCUAUCACAAGUUUGUUUAUGCUCUUUCACACCGUUUAUUUUCGUUUUUAGACACCAUGUCGGUUGUGUUUCUGCCUCUGAGUGCAGGUGAGGAUACAUUGCACUUGGUGGAUUUAAAGCUGGAGGCCGUGGAGAAGCUGAUCCGAGACCUACAGGUGAAGCCAGCCUGGCAACAGCAGUGAAAAGCCACGCUGGAAUCGUCGUGGACUGACGCUCACCUGUCCCAGGUGCCUGCAGCUCUGAGGAAAAACAUUGGAGCUGUGGUCCUUCAUGCUGGCACGAACAACACUAGGCUGAGGCAGACGGAGAUCCUAAAGAAGGACUUCAGGAACCUGGUUGAGAAGGUCCGCAGCACAUCACCCACAACAAGAAUCGUCUUAUCUGGACCGCUUCCCACAUUUUAGCGAGGAAUCAAGAGUCUCAGUAGAUUGUUUGCUUUUAAUGAAUGGUUACAAUCAUGGUGUCAACAACAGAGAUUACCCUUUGUUGAUAACUGGAAUGUUUUCUGGGAGAGUCCUAGGCUCUACCACACCGAUGGUCCUCUCUGACAACAUUUCCAGGACAUUACCAACCAUCUGACUGGCGGCAUCUGGAGAUGGUGCCAGCUACACAUGCUGCUCCUGUGCUUCCAGUGAUCCAGACCCUAUCUCCCCUUUGCACCUACUGACUCAUCCCUAUGCUGAACUGGAGUUCAUGUUAAUUUAAAGACUUUGUUAUAUUGAACUUUCAGCUGCAUAACACACAAUGUUGUAUAAUUUCUGUUUUCACCCAAAUGAGGAUGUGUUCCCUGUUGAGUCUGGUUCCUCUCAAGGUUUCUUCCUAUUGCCAUCUCGGGGAGUUUUUCCUUGCCACUGUCGCCGUCGCCCUUGGCUUGCUUAUCAGGGACAUUUCAUUUAUCGUAUUAUCUAAACACAUUUUUCUCCCACAUACAGUACACUUUUUUUUUAAUUGAAAUUGAAAAAAUAAAUUUCUUUCAUUUUUGUGAAGCUGCUUUGA